rnacentral:rRNA from 1 species
AGUGAACGCUGGCGGUAGGCCUAACACACGCAAGUCGAACGGCAGCACAGUAAGAGCUUGCUCUUACGGGUGGCGAGUGGCGGACGGGUGAGGAAUACAUCGGAAUCUACUUUUUCGUGGGGGAUAACGUAGGGAAACUUACGCUAAUACCGCAUACGACCUACGGGUGAAAGCAGGGGAUCUUCGGACCUUGCGCGAUUGAAUGAGCCGAUGUCGGAUUAGCUAGUUGGCGGGGUAAAGGCCCACCAAGGCGACGAUCCGUAGCUGGUCUGAGAGGAUGAUCAGCCACACUGGAACUGAGACACGGUCCAGACUCCUACGGGAGGCAGCAGUGGGGAAUAUUGGACAAUGGGCGCAAACCUGAUCCAGCCAUACCGCGUGGGUGAAGAAGGCCUUCGGGUUGUAAAGCCCUUUUGUUGGGAAAGAAAAGCAGCAGGUUAAUACCCCGCUGUUCUGACGGUACCCAAAGAAUAAGCACCGGCUAACUUCGUG